rnacentral:lncRNA from 1 species
AAAUCAGUGAAACACACUGGGCUGCUGAUUUGCUCCCAGUGAAGGCUGGUGCCAGGCAAGGAGAUGCUCACCUGAUGCCAGCAGAAGAGAAGCUCACCUCCUAGAAAGAGGUUGCAUCCAGUUCUAUUCUGCAAUUUGUCAGACCACCUCACAAGACAAUUUUAUGCUAAGACAAUAAUAGGUCAAUGAUGGGUGGAAUCACAUCUUGGCCUGGACGGGUUAGCCAUCCAUACAUACUACCUCUUGCAUUCUAUUUGAAACUAAGUCUCAUGCCAGGACUCCAGAGAUUAGCUCGGGGUGAGCCGCUGAAUCUUUUUGUUCCUCUUCCCUGUGUAUCCACAUUGAGCAGAUCUCCUUUUUCUGUUUUCAACUGUUUAUUGUGCCUUUCAGUGGCCUAAUGAGGACGCAUGGUUGAG